ACCUUUGCCAUACUCUCUUUCAUCUGGAAGAAUCCGGAUGACAUUUUUUUAACACUAAUCACUCAAAUUAAAACCAAAACAUAAGAGACAGAGAGAGGGAGGGAAAGCGAAGGGAAAAAAAGAAAAAUGGAGGGAAGAGCAAAAGGCGGCAAAUCAAUUCUACUCUCCAAAAUAAAAGUUUCUCUUUCUAGUUCUCUUAUUUUCUCUCUCUGAACGCUGUCGGUUCAAUCAAAUUUUCAGGUGCUAAUUAAGUGGUAAUUAUUGUUGAUCGUGGUUCAUUGGAGGAUGUGUAGACUUCAUUGGCCAUGUGCCAUAUGCCAAAGCUUGGUGUUGAAAACUGCUGGACCCAUUUCUUAGUAGACUCUCCCACAUGUAGCUUGUUAUAUAUAUUUAUAUCUAAUGAGCGAUUCAGUAUGGGUGUUGGUAAGUUCAAUCUGCAAUCCUAUUACAUUCUUAUAUGAACGCAGCAUUUCUUUUAUAUAAUUCAUGCCAUACCAAUC